rnacentral:rRNA from 1 species
GAUGAACGCUGGCGGCGUGCCUAAUACAUGCAAGUCGAGCGAACGGACGAGAAGCUUGCUUCUCUGAUGUUAGCGGCGGACGGGUGAGUAACACGUGGAUAACCUACCUAUAAGACUGGGAUAACUUCGGGAAACCGUAGCUAAUACCGGAUAAUAUUUUGAACCGCAUGGUUCAAAAGUGAAAGACGGUCUUGCUGUCACUUAUAGAUGGAUCCGCGCUGCAUCAGCUAGUUGGUAAGGUAACGGCUUACCAAGGCAACGAUGCAUAGCCGACCUGAGAGGGUGAUCGGCCACACUGGAACUGAGACACGGUCCAGACUCCUACGGGAGGCAGCAGUAGGGAAUCUUCCGCAAAGGGCGAAAGCCUGACGGAGCAACGCCGCGUGAGUGAUGAAGGUCUUCGGAUCGUAAAACUCUGUUAUUAGGGAAGAACAUAUGUGUAAGUAACUGUGCACAUCUUGACGGUACCUAAUCAGAAAGCCACGGCUAACUACGUG